AAAGAAAAAACAGGGCAUCUUUAGGGGGAACAGAGUUGUAUGCUACCAGUUAAACCAAACACAGAUCUUACUGCCCCUGCAUGUGCGCGCCUCUGCCUAUCAGCCCCUUGAGAAGUCAUUGAUCCACAAGGACCCUUCACUCUCACGACCGACAGACGAUUCGGCAACAACAAGGACUUCUGCUCCUCCCUGACAGCAUGACCACUUGCGUUUCCGUCAAGAAGAAGCACAAACCCGGGAGCCGUCAACCUUACAGAGCAAGAUCAAAUGAAACAUGAUGACAAAAUGGGAAAAAGUUUUUCUCAUUUUUUCUUUUUUUCCAGUUUACAUUAAAUACGCACCUUUCCAUG